rnacentral:rRNA from 1 species
UACGAGAGGGGGCAACGUUGUUCGGAAUUACUGGGCGUAAAGGGCGCGUAGGCGGCCUGUUAAGUCGGAACGUGAAAUCCCUCGGCGUCAACCGGGGAACUGCGUCCGAUACUGGCGGGCUUGAAUUCGGGAGAGGGAUGUGGAAUUCAGGUGUAGCGGUGAAAUGCGUAGAUAUCUGGAGGAACACCGGUGGCGAAGGCGGCAUCCUGGACUGACAUUGACGCGUGAGGCGACGAAAGACCAGGGAGCAAACGGG